rnacentral:rRNA from 1 species
UACGUAGGGCGCAAGCGUUAUCCGGAAUUAUUGGGCGUAAAGAGCUCGUAGGCGGUUUGUCGCGUCUGCCGUGAAAGUUCGGGGCUCAACUCCGGAUCUGCGGUGGGUACGGGCAGACUAGAGUGAUGUAGGGGAGACUGGAAUUCCAAGUGUAGCAGUGAAAUGCGUAGAGAUUUGGAGGAAUACCGAUGGCGAAGGCAGCCCCCUGGGAUAAAACUGACGCUGAGGCACGAAAGCGUGGGUAGCAAACAGG